UACGUAGGGGGCUAGCGUUGUCCGGAAUCAUUGGGCGUAAAGAGCGUGUAGGCGGUCCGGUAAGUCCGCUGUGAAAUCUCGAGGCUCAACUUCGAGCUGUCGGUGGAAACUGUCUGGCUAGAGUCCGGAAGAGGAGAAUGGAAUUCCUGGUGUAGCGGUGAAAUGCGCAGAUAUCAGGAGGAACACCGAUGGCGAAGGCAGGUCUCUGGGCCACUACUGACGCUGAGACGCGAAAGCGUGGGGAGCGAACAGG
rnacentral:rRNA from 1 species